rnacentral:lncRNA from 1 species
CAAAGGAUCAUAUAUAGAUCAUGUAAUAUGCUUUGAUGCAGAGUUAAAAAGAUAACUCAUAAAACACAAAGCAUAUGUGGUAGCUAGUUAUUAGAUGAACCUAAGCAUAUAUAUACUCUAGACCACCGUUUGUCAAUCACAGUGAAUUCGGAUUUGCAUAGCCUUGGAAUAAGAGAAGAUAGACAUCAUUUAUACAAACAAUACAUAUCAAACAGCAAUAAAAAUCUUGCAUAUCGUACGUUAUACCAACAAUUCAUAAGCUUUAGAUUUAAGAAAAAUUAUACAUGAACCAAUGUUCUCAAACUAACAUGCCUUACUGUCUACGUUACCCUUCUUGAAUCAAAAUGAUAAAUAUCUCAUGUAUACGUACCUAUGACCAGUUAUCAAAACACAUGGGUGAGUUACUAGUUAUAUAUAAUUUGAAAGGUUUCAUGCUAUGCCCCCUGAGAGAUGUCGGUCGAUCAUUAUCUGCUGAUUAUGAAGUCUUUGCUUGAUCUGAUGAGGGGAAUGCCCCCAAUCCCAUGGUACAUGCUCAGUUGCUCACUCGUUUGAGAAAAUAAGUUAUUGACUAGUAACCUACAUGAGUUCCGUUUUACACUUGCCAAGAUUCAUGGUUAGGGCCCAGAAACAUAUUCUUGUAAACAAAUUGAAACGAGUCAUAUAUGCAAUGCUAGAUUGUAGGUAAGAAAGAGUUUAAUCUCCCUUCGGGUUGUCUCAGGGUGAACAAGUUUUUGCAAGUGCAUCGGAGCCUCGUAGGGCUCGUCUUUAGACAUUUGUCGUUGUGUCAUUGUUGUCCCUCUUGGUGCCGACCGCUGACGUAGAAGCCACGGUGAUGGCGGCGUUAUCCCCGUUUGCGCUACAAUUGAUGUCCUCGCCCAGAUGCUUCAUUCCUGUAUAGCUUUCCUACACGUACAUCUUUGAACCAUGUCUCCUGCGACUAAAACCCUAGAAAUCAAAUCUUUGAGCAAUAUAUCUCCCGCAACUAAAACUUUUAAGCAAGUAUUCCAGAAGAUGAAUUAAUUAGAGAAGAGACUGAGAAUCUUUCUUAUCUAUGAUGAACUUCUGCCUUCCCUAGCGUCAAUGGCUGCGUCCAUGGCUCUUUACUAUAAUCUCACGGCUUUUGUUUUUCGUUUCCCACAGACGGCGCCAACUGUUGGUGCAAAAAAUUUUGGGAGAGAGAUUUCCCAACAUAAAUCUCACUCCUUUGAUAUUCGAGAAGCCUUGGACGCAUCCAUACGACAAUCUAUCAAAGGAAAGAGGUACCGUUGUUAUUACUCCUGAUUGUUCCUCCUUCUUCAUCCUCCUCUCUUCCUCCCCAUAAGCGUGUGAAUUUAUUGACCUUUUAUUUCUUGGUCCUCACUUCCCGUUGUAGUGGGAGUAGUGGGAGAAGCAUGUUCUCUAUGAACGAUCAUGUUUCAUGUUGUUUAUCAUGAUAGUGUUCAUUUUGGGUUUUGACCAUCGUUCUGGCCUAAUUCAUUAAAUGGGGGUCCAAGCCGAAAUUUUAUACCCCCACACCUAGUAAAAAGAAAACAUCCAUUACCACAUAUCCCAAAAAUGUAAUAACACAACUUCUUCUUGGUACGCAUCUUGAUUGUUUUGAAGGGUUCUAAAGCAUAGGCCAAAGGUAAUAACACAUAUCCCAAAAAUGUAAACACAACUCAUUAUAAUGCUGAUACCAGUUACAUUACAAAGCGGCUAUAUUUUCAUUAUAAUGCUAACACUAGUUACAUUACAAAGAUGACAACCUCUUGCUUAAAUAGCAUAAGAGUCUGAAUAAAAAUUAGAAAAAUACAUAAAUGGAAAACUAACAAAAUAAAUAUCAAAUCUAUCCAACUAAUAAUAAAGAUACUGCAAAAUCUAUGCAAUU